CCGCUCCAUCCUUGGAUUCCCUUCUCCACCGGGUCCUCGCUCCCGGAGGCCGUGGUCCUGUGGAUGGAGCCGUCCAGCGGCACCGCAACGUUUACCACUACAGGUAGCCGGAGGAUGGUCGCCGCCGUCGGCGGGAUGCACUGGUAGCAUGACGCAGGUGAGACCAGUUUUUCGAUCUCCUGCACAGAUUUUGAGCUGCAGGAAUUUUGUUUGGGAGGAAAAAAUGCAUCUGCUUUGUCAUGUGUGUAAUUGAUCAGUCAAUAAAUGUUCAUAGUGUUGUGCUGCAACACGAACCGAUGUUGCAGGACAGCCAGGCUAUAUUAAAAUUUGAUCUUGUGCUAGGUUCAGAAGAUGUACUAUAUUUGCUAUAGGAUUGGAGUAACUUAGUUUAUACAGUACUUGAAGCCUAGACAGAUUCGAAAUUUUAGAAUUGGUUGUAAUGAUCUAACGGUAGAUAUGCGUGUACUUGGUCAUCUAUUCGAGUUCUUUUCAUGUCUAGAACCAACCUUGUAUUUUUAAGGUUGGCAAUCUUUUCAUUUGGUUCAAAUCUGAUAUGAAUUAGUAAUUGCUAGAUCUAUACACUUUGUUAUCCAUAAUCGCGAGUUAAUGGAUCAUUGCUACGCCUUGUGCAAGGGGAAGAAUAUGAGCUAGCAAGGGGAAGUAGCUGUAGCCUUUUUACACCUCACAAGAGCUUGGCCAUUGGUUAUGGUUCCACACAGAAUAUUCAUGUUUAUUACACAAGAUCAGAUUGUGCAGAAUGAAUCUAUUCAUGCUUAUUUUGAUGCAUAAUGUAAUCGGUUGCUUAUAUAGCUCGCUGACCAUUUCAUUUUUUUGUGGUUGGGUGUCGUCUCAAUGUCUCCACGUCGCCCAUGACUCCGACAUGCACCCGACCUGCUGCUUCUGGACCGGCGGGGGAGCUGAUGCUAUAACUGGCACCACUCCAGGGACAUCUACAAGGCUGGCGAGGGCAGCUCCAGCCUCUGAGCCAGGGGCGGCAAGGUGUGCUUUGUCCACGGUGACCAAGAAGACGACGCGCAGGAGGGAGCGGAACUGGAGGUGGUCAGGAGGUAGCAGCAGCCCUCCUAUACGUCUCGGAGGUACCUGCUUUUGGAGGGCGUUGAUAUGUGCAACAUGAGGGUGGUGAGGAAAAUCACGGGGGGAAUUGCCGGUGGUUCUCGUUCAUGUCUUUUCUGUUCCAAGAUGUGUGGCGGUGUUGUUUAUUGGUUCCGAUGACUCGUCUCAGCCGUUGUUGGUGUUGUUUGUGUGCCUGUAUGAUGGGCCUCAGUUGGGUUCCUUUGAUUGUAAAUAAAUGUAUUUCACUUGAAGUGUAGUGGUAGUAGUGGAGUAAGUAAUUGGCUCAUCCGUCGCUCGCUGGUAGUUGUUCCUCUUGGCGAUGGAUGGACGGACUUUCGGGUGACUCUUCUGGCCGAAGGGCAGCCUGAUGCGGCUUCGGUUUCUUCCGCGAGCUAUGACCUUAUGGUGUGUGAUACCGUUUGUGGGGCCUUUCUCCUUAUGCAGGGAGGCCAGGGCAGUGAGCCAUUGCAACCUCGGUGUCCCAAGUGGUAAUGUCCUGGGAGUCGAAAAGGCUGAUCCCGAGCAGAUGGUUUGAUCUGAUUGCGUUUCAGAGUUUCUGUUUGAGGUUAAACUCCAGGGAUGUGUGUGUGGUUUCUUCAUGUGUUGGGUCCUUCUGUAAUUGGCUGUGUAAUACUGUUUCAUAAUUAAUACAGCGACGAGGUCUUUCGG